rnacentral:rRNA from 1 species
AAUCAACGCUGGCGGCGUGCCUAACACAUGCAAGUCGAACGCGAAAGCCCCGCAAGGGGUCAGUAGAGUGGCAAACGGGUGAGUAACACGUGGGUGACCUGCCUUCGAGUGGGGGAUAACGUCCCGAAAGGGACGCUAAUACCGCAUAACAUCCUGCCUUUGAACAGGCGGUGAUCAAAGCUGGGGAUCGCAAGACCUAGCGCUGGAAGAGGGGCCCGCGCCUGAUUAGCUAGUUGGUGAGGUAACGGCUCACCAAGGCGACGAUCAGUAUCCGGCCUGAGAGGGCGGACGGACACACUGGGACUGAGACACGGCCCAGACUCCUACGGGAGGCAGCAGUGGGGAAUUGUUCGCAAUGGGCGCAAGCCUGACGACGCAACG